UGGGGAAUUUUGGACAAUGGGGGAAACCCUGAUCCAGCCAUCCCGCGUGUGCGAUGAAGGCCUUCGGGUUGUAAAGCACUUUUGGCAGGAAAGAAACGUCAUGGGUUAAUACCCCGUGAAACUGACGGUACCUGCAGAAUAAGCACCGGCUAACUACGUGCCAGCAGCCGCGGUAAUACGUAGGGUGCAAGCGUUAAUCGGAAUUACUGGGCGUAAAGCGUGCGCAGGCGGUUCGGAAAGAAAGAUGUGAAAUCCCAGAGCUCAACUUUGGAACUGCAUUUUUAAGUACCGGGCUGGAGUGUGUCAGAGGGAGGUGGAAUUCCGCGGGUAGCAGUGAAAUGCGUAGAUAUGCGGAGGAAAACCGAUGGCGAAGGCAGCCUCCUGGGAUAUCAAUGCAGCUCAUGCACGAAAGCGUGGGGAGCAACCAGG
rnacentral:rRNA from 1 species